UGGGGAAUAUUGCACAAUGGGCGAAAGCCUGAUGCAGCCAUGCCGCGUGUGUGAAGAAGGCCUUCGGGUUGUAAAGCACUUUCAGUUGUGAGGAAAGGGGUGUAGUUAAUAGCUACAUCCUAUGACGUUAGCAACAGAAGAAGCACCGGCUAACUCCGUGCCAGCAGCCGCGGUAAUACGGAGGGUGCGAGCGUUAAUCGGAAUUACUGGGCGUAAAGCGUGCGUAGGCGGUUUGUUAAGCAAGAUGUGAAAGCCCAGGGCUCAACCUUGGAACUGCAUUUUGAACUGGCAAACUAGAGUACUGUAGAGGGUGGUGGAAUUUCCAGUGUAGCGGUGAAAUGCGUAGAGAUUGGAAGGAACAUCAGUGGCGAAGGCGGCCACCUGGACAGAUACUGACGCUGAGGCACGAAAGCGUGGGGAGCAAACAGG
rnacentral:rRNA from 1 species